rnacentral:rRNA from 1 species
GACGAACGCUGGCGGCGUGCUUAACACAUGCAAGUCGAACGGAAAGGCCCUGCUUGCAGGGUACUCGAGUGGCGAACGGGUGAGUAACACGUGGGUGAUCUGCCCUGCACUUCGGGAUAAGCCUGGGAAACUGGGUCUAAUACCGGAUAGGAGCCAUUUUUAGUGUGAUGGUUGGAAAGUUUUUUCGGUGUAGGAUGAGCUCGCGGCCUAUCAGCUUGUUGGUGGGGUAAUGGCCUACCAAGGCGGCGACGGGUAGCCGGCCUGGGAGGGUGGACGGCCACAUUGGGACUGAGAUACGGCCCAGACUCCUACGGGAGGCAGCAGUGGGGAAUAUUGCACAAUGGGCGCAAGCCGGAUGCAGCGACGCCGCGUGGGGGAGGACGGCCUUCGGGUUGUAAACUCCUUUCGCUAGGGACGAAGCUUUUUGUGACGGUACCUAGAUAAGAAGCACCGGCUAACUACGUG